rnacentral:rRNA from 1 species
AGCCGGGCGACUCUGGAAGGACUGCCAUCGACAAGAUGGAGGAAGGUGGGGAGUGACGUCAAGUCAUCAUGGCCCUUACUGUCCAGGCGACACACGUGCUACAAUGGCCGGCACAACGGGAAGCGAGUUCGCGAGGACAAGCGGAUCCCUCAAAGCCGGUCGCAGUUCGGAUUGAAGUCUGCAACUCGACUUCAUGAAGCUGGAAUCGCUAGUAAUCGUGGAUCAGCCAAGCCGCGGUGAAUACGUUCCCGGGCCUU